UAUGAAGGGUACAGGGUUGUUUUGCUGCCAACCCGGUCAGGUUCGGAAGAAAGCAGCCGUAACAGUUAAAACAAGGUCUGUAUCCCUUCGCCUCA
rfam:Acetobacter sp. CAG:267 genomic scaffold, scf96